UACGAAGGGUGCAAGCGUUACUCGGAAUUACUGGGCGUAAAGCGUGCGUAGGUGGUGAGUUAAGUCUGUCGUGAAAGCCCCGGGCUCAACCUGGGAAUGGCGAUGGAUACUGGCUCGCUAGAGUGCGGUAGAGGAGAGUGGAAUUCCCGGUGUAGCAGUGAAAUGCGUAGAGAUCAGGAGGAACACCGAUUGCGAAGGCAGCUCGCUGGGACGUGACUGACGCUGAGACGCGAAAGCGUGGGGAGCAAACAGG
rnacentral:rRNA from 1 species